GUCUACGACCAUGCCAACCUGAGCAAACCCGAUCCCAUCUGAUCUCGGAAGCUAAGCAGGGUCGGGCCUGGUUAGUACGUGGAUGGGAGACCACCUAGGAAUAUCAGGUGCUGUAGGUA
rnacentral:rRNA from 1 species